GAACGAAGGCUUCGGCCUUAGUGGCGCACGGGUGCGUAACGCGUGGGAAUCUGCCCUUGGGUUCGGAAUAACAGUGAGAAAUUACUGCUAAUACCGGAUGAUGACGUAAGUCCAAAGAUUUAUCGCCCAAGGAUGAGCCCGCGUAGGAUUAGCUAGUUGGUGAGGUAAAGGCUCACCAAGGCGACGAUCCUUAGCUGGUCUGAGAGGAUGAUCAGCCACACUGGGACUGAGACACGGCCCAG
rnacentral:rRNA from 1 species